GACGGAAGGUGCAAGCGUUGCUCGGAAUCAUUGGGCGUAAAGCGCACGUAGGCGGCUUCGAAAGUCGGAUGUGAAAGCCCUCGGCUUAACUGAGGAAGUGCACCCGAAACUGAGUAGCUAGAGUACUAAAGAGGGUCGCGGAAUUCCCGGUGUAGAGGUGAAAUUCGUAGAUAUCGGGAGGAACACCGGUGGCGAAGGCGGCGACCUGGGUAGAUACUGACGCUGAGGCGCGAAAGCGUGGGGAGCAAACAGG
rnacentral:rRNA from 1 species